GGCUCAGUAGGUUGGUCGUGCCACCGGUACGUACUGGUCACACUGAUUCCUCCUUCCUGAAGAACCGUAAUGCCAUUAAUUUGGUGUUGCGGGGAAACAGGACUGUUACUUUGAAAAAAUUAGAGUGUUUAAAGCAAGCUAACGCUUGAAUACAUUAGCAUGGAAUAAUGAAAUAGGACGAUCGAUCCUAUUUUGUUGGUUUCUAGGAUUGACGUA
rnacentral:rRNA from 1 species